rnacentral:rRNA from 1 species
CGGGGGGAGCAAGCGUUGUUCGGAUUACUGGGCGUAAAGGGCGCGUAGGCGGCCACCGCAAGUCGACUGUGAAAUCUCCGGGCUUAACCCGGAAAGGUCAGCCGAUACUGCGGGGCUAGAGUGCAGAAGGGGCAACUGGAAUUCUCGGUGUAGCGGUGAAAUGCGUAGAUAUCGAGAGGAACACCUGCGGCGAAGGCGGGUUGCUGGGCUGACACUGACGCUGAUGCGCGAAAGCUAGGGGAGCGAACGGGAUUAGAUACCCCGGUAGUCCCAGCCGUAAACGAUGGAUACUAGGUGUUGGGGGUAUCGACCCCCCCAGUGCCGCAGCUAACGCAUUAAGUAUCCCGCCUGGGGAGUACGGCCGCAAGGUUG